UCCCUGAUAGUCCAGUGGUUAAGGAUCUGCCUCGCAAUGCAGGGGACAUGGGUUUGAUCCCUAUUCAGGGAA
rnacentral:tRNA from 1 species